AGUCUAAACGAUAAUCAAAUUCGAAUUGUUGAUUUAUGUAGCCGAAUUAAUCAACCACAUGUCUUACCGAAUUUGACAGAUGGGCUUCUUUAGUUGUUCCACGUACUUGGUGUUCAAUCGGAUGGUCAGUGUGCAGCUGGACGAAGCGCUAACGGCCGUGAUAGGAGACUGCCAGUACGUGUUGUUUAGCGUAACGCUUCCGCCACAACCAGUGAUGGCGUCUGUGUAGAAAGCACACUUUUCCCAGGACGCAGGAUCCACUUGGUUUGCCUCGAAACAGCGAACAGGCUGAUCCUGGAACGCAAAUUCCUGCUUCGCCGCUGGAAGAUGUGCAUCCGUCAAAGUCGUCGAGAGGACUAUUGAAAUUUGGGUUGUACGUAAUAGGAAUUCUGUUUGCUAAACUGUUAAAAGGUCUCCACGUAUUCGCUGGAGUGAAUCGGUUGUUGAAGAG